UGAGCAGAGAAGAGGCCCUGGAGCCUAUGUGCAAGUCUGAGCUCUGCCACUUCCUGGGCUCUGUGAUCCUGGGGGUGCUUCUGAAGCUCUCUGUUCCUCAUGUCCCUCACCCAGAGAAAGGACAUAGGCACCUUGCACUUCACAGUGGGAUGAGUCAUGAAAAUGGCCGUUGCUCAUAGGGCUCUUCUGGUCAGUCUGCUCCCUCCUGAAGGGGCAACGAAUGAACGAAUGCACUCUGCUGUUGCCAUCACUGUAGGGUCUGCUUUGCUGAGGAAUGGAUCUGGGGAACUCUGAUGCAUCACAAGGGAGCCUAAACGGUGAUCGGCUGUGCCAGGCUCCCCAGGGGAAGCUAACACCAGAGAGGCAACGCAAUACGGGAACCCGACAUCACUGCAGCCAACGUGCUUGACACUGAGCUGCUUUGCUGAGGUCUGAAACAAGGGGAGCCUGAUUCCGCCUCUCCUCUGUCUCCCAUCUCACCACGACAUGCGAGACAUUGCUAACCACCACUCCCAGAGGAUCUCCUAUCCUUCUGAUCUUAGUGUAACCAAAAGUAAGACCACAGGUGACCAUGGGUAACUUGAAACCACGGACUGAGAACUACAGAGGAGCAUCCAUUCCCACUGCAAGGCUGUAACCGGACGUUAACAUGCUCAGUGGAGCUGCAGACUGAUAUGUUCACCAGCAACGAGGCCGACACAGCCAGCAUCACUGAC
ensembl:lncRNA